UGUUUACUGUUCAUUUCUGAUCGUUGUUCUCCUUCACCUGUGUUCAUUGUUUUCCUUUUUUUUUUGCUUUGGCAAUGUAACCAUUCAGAGUUUGAACACACCUACUCAUUCAAGGGUUCUGGUCUAAAGACCGGGAAGACACAACCACAAGGCUCUGAGUCAGGCUGCUGUCCAGAGACCAGGAAGACACAACCACAAGGCUCUGAGUCAGGCUGCUGUCCAGAGACCAGGAAGACACAACCACAAGGCUCUGAGUCAGGCUGCUGUCUAAAGACCAGGAAGACACAACCACAAGGCUCUGAGUCAGGCUGCUGUCUAAAGACCAGGAAGACACAACCACAAGGCUCUGAGUCAGGCUGCUGUCUAAAGACCAGGAAGACACAACCACAAGGCUCUGAGUCAGGCUGCUGUCCAAAGACCAGGAAGACACAACCACAAGGCUCUGAGUCAGGCUGCUGUCCAGAGACCAGGAAGACACAACCACAAGGCUCUGAGUCAGGCUGCUGUCCAGAGACCAGGAAGACACAACCACAAGGCUCUGAGUCAGGCUGCUGUCCAGAGACCAGGAAGACACAACCACAAGGCUCUGAGUCAGGCUGCUGUCCAGAGACCAGGAAGACACAACCACAAGGCUCUGAGUCAGGCUGCUGUCUAAAGACCAGGAAGACACAACCACAAGGCUCUGAGUCAGGCUGCUGUCUAAAGACCAGGAAGACACAACCACAAGGCUCUGAGUCAGGCUGCUGUCUAAAGACCAGGAAGACACAACCACAAGGCUCUGAGUCAGGCUGCUGUCUAAAGACCAGGAAGACACAACCACAAGGCUCUGAGUCAGGCUGCUGUCUAAAGACCAGGAAGACACAACCACAAGGCUCUGAGUCAGGCUGCUGUCUAAAGACCAGGAAGACACAACCACAAGGCUCUGAGUCAGGCUGCUGUCUAAAGACCAGGAAGACACAACCACAAGGCUCUGAGUCAGGCUGCUGUCCAAAGACCAGGAAGACACAACCACAAGGCUCUGAGUCAGGCUGCUGUCUAAAGACCAGGAAGACACAACCACAAGGCUCUGAGUCAGGCUGCUGUCUAAAGACCAGGAAGACACAACCACAAGGCUCUGAGUCAGGCUGCUGUCUAAAGACCAGGAAGACACAACCACAAGGCUCUGAGUCAGGCUUCUGUGCAAAGACCAGGAAGACACAACCACAAGGCUCUGAGUCAGGCUGUUGUCCAAAUGGACCCCUGUUACCUUUAUAG
ensembl:lncRNA